CCCCCUGCCCUAGAUCUAACACCCGAAUAUCAGACAAAUUCAUUUGCCCUUAAUUCAAACCUUUCAUUUGCAAUUCAUGGUGUUAAAAUAAAAAUUUCUUAAUCCCCAAUUUACUCAUUUUCAUUCAUUCUAUUCACAUGUUUAACAUCAGAGACGCAAUCACCAAUCGAUUACUACUCAAUUCAUUCAAACAACAAUGCAAAUUAGGGUUUUCCAAAAUCAAUCACGCACUCUAUCUCUUCAAUCAAAUGACAACAUUAGAUCCAUUUCCUUCCGCCAUUGAUUUCAAUCAUCUCUUCACCGCCAUAACCAAUAUCAAACCCGGAAAACACCAUUCAAUCAUCAUUUCUUUUUCCAGAAAUCUCGAGUUAUCGGGCCUCCGGCCCAAUAUGCAUUCACUGGGUAUCCUCACAAAUUGUUACUGCAAUUUGGGUCGGGUUGAUUUCGCUUUCUCUCUCCUCGGUAAGCGCCUUAAGUGUGGGUAUGAGCCUGAUAUUGUGAUUUUUACCACCUUGAUCAAUGGCCUUAGUGACGGUAAUUAUGUUGAUCAAGCUGUUAAAUUGUUGGAUAAAAUUGUUAAUCUUGGAUUUCAACCUAAUAUUGUUACUUAUGGUACUAUUGUGAAAGGGCUUUGUAGGUCAGGGAAUAAUGUGGGUGCUAUUAAUUUGCUUAGGAAAAUGCAGUCUGAUGGGAUUUGUAAGCCUGAUGUUGUUAUAUAUACUAUGAUUAUUGAUAGUCUUUGUAAAGAGAAUUUGUUGAUUCAAGCUGUUAAAUUGUUGGAUGAAAUGCAGAAUGAGGGGAUGUCGCCGAAUGCUGUUACUUAUAGUGCUGUGAUUCGAGGAUGUUGCGAUUGGGGAAGUGGAAAUGAUCUCGAUAAUUAUCGAUCUUAGGGUUAUUGCCUUAUUGGAAUGAUGACUAAGGAUUAAGGCAAACCAGAGUGAAUGUUGGAGGAUAUUUUUUCAGGGUUGUGAAGUAUGAGUGUUAUUGAUGAUACUAAACACGGGUGCACGAUGAGGAAAUGUGACACUUGUGCUUGGGAUGUCACAGUUUAUCGAAUUGCUUGGAAAUUGCUUUUAUGGCGAAAUGCACAAGGAAUUACAGAUAAUGAAUUUGAUGGCCAUGAAGGAAGGUUGCAUAAUUGGUGAUGUGGUGUUGUGCACAAUCACAUUGAUGGAUAUUCUGAGAGUGGAAACACUGAUGUCCUAACGAAGGGUGAAGUAGUCUCCAGCAAUGUUGCCUGUAAUGGACCACAUUCAUGAUGGCAAGGGAAAGAAGCUGCAGAUGUCUGAUAUCCUCACCGAAUCUCCUAUCUAAAGAUAAUUAGCUUUACAACUUCAAGGAUGAUGGAUAAGAUACUAACAACUACUCUCUAGACACACCUUCACAACCUGCUUUGCCUGGCCAACCAAUAUGGACAUUAUCAUUGUUAAUACAUGAGUUUCCACAGUUUUUCCAAGGUGCUUGUACCAAAUAAAGAUUACAGAGAGGGUUCAAGUUAGAAACUAAGCUUGUAGUAGGACUGCAAGAAUAAGAAGCCAGUGUGACAGAGCUAAACUUGGGUGUGAAGUUAUAGAUUAGUUCAAGAAAAGUCUAUAAGCAGAUUGCCUAGUCAUCGUCCCAUCGGAGCUUUGCUUCUUUCAGGCACUAGGAUCUUGUGAACUGCAAUCAUGAACUUAGUUUAUCAGUUUUGUUCACAUGAUGAGCAGCUAUGAACUCAUGGGUACCACUGUUCUUACCUGUAAGUUCAGACUGGUUGCUGCAAUUCAUUUGAGCCAGACAAAUCAAAAUCUUGCUGUUGGCCUUCAUAGAUACUUCCCGGUUGCUUGCCAUUACUUCUACUAGUUUUACAUGCACGCAAUGCGUGCGAUAACAUGUGAUAACAAAUGAAGUAGAAAAUAAAAUUAAUUGGGUAGAAAAAUUGUUUUUACAUUUUGUUUUCUCAAAAAACUGAUGUGUUAGUUUAAAUGUCUUACUUUUCCCCCCUUUUUCAUUCAAAUGAAAUAGUUAGUUAUCCUCUAUUUUUUUUUCUUUUUUUUCUUUUUCUAUUUUUUGGUGUCCCCCAUGUGUUGCCUUAUAUAAUAGAGAUUCACCUGUAUAUACAGGGCACCACUCUGCCAGCUCCAUUUAAGCUCCAGAAAACUUUGUUGUAGCGAAGCUGAUAUGAAUUAUAUCUGUAAAUUACCGACGAGCAUAGAAAUGGCAUUGUAGAACAGAUAAUUCUUCUGACACAGUUAUGGCUCUAAACAACGUUGUACACUGUUCGACUAUAGAAACUCCUAAAUGGCUAAAUGCUAUUCCAUUAGUAUAAUCAAUAAUGGAAAAGAAAAGGAAAAGAGGAAAAUUUAUGCUUAUUCCAAAUGAAUAUUGCCAAUCUUUACCGGUUAGUUUUGUUAAUCUGCUACCAAAUAUACUAUCUGCUUUGUUAUUUCCUUUUCAUAUGAUUGGAGUAUUCGACCUUAGUCCAGUGCUGAGUACUAGAUAGUAGAUACUAGAUAAGCUUAAGCUUAUGCGUCAUUCGCGCGUUGCUACCUGGUGGUUGUUCUUCCAAAAUUAUAUGCAUUAUUUGCGUGUUAGAAUCAAUGGAUUUUAUAAGUAGUUGUUAGUCCAAACAUUUCAUCACCCUUAUUCCUCAAAUCCCUCUCUCAUUCUCUUUACCUCUACUCAACGACUCACCUUCAUUACUGGUUUUUGUACCUCAUCGCAUAGUAUCUUCUCAAAUUAAAUCCCAUUUCAAAAUCGAUAUGCUAUCUGCUAAUCAAGUGGUCACUUUCUUUUUCUUCUCUCACCCAUUGUGGCUUCGAAGCUCCCUAAACUCUUGGUUGUUAUGUGGUUUUGCAUCAUAAACAGAUAGACAUUAGCAUUUAGAAUUAAGGUUUCUAACUCAUCGGCUCCCCUCUCUCGAAUCUCCAUCACCACGGCUUCACUUCUACAAACUGUCCCUCCUAGCAAUCUGUUUUUUUGGUUUGGUUGUCCCCCACAGUUUUAGAAGAUAAGAUUGUGUAGGUAGAACAGUCUAGCAGAAAUACAGGUUUUCAUCACCCAAAUGUGUUCAAAAGAAGUUUCAGAAGGCAUCAAUUGCAAGAAUGAGGAAACCAGAUUUUAUCCAACAAAGAAAACUAGCAAAGUUUCAUUAUACAAAUAGUUACCCAAUCUCAUUGAAGCUUUAACAUAAAGCCAAAUAUGUACAUUGUCUUGGCAGCUGACAAACAUAUUCAAGGUUGAAACAAAAAAAAAAGAUAUUGUACUCUGUAUAUGCUUAGCCAAGAGAUUUGCAGGUAUUGCAAAAGCGAGAUACUGAUACUGAUAGUGUACUGUACUAUAAGGCUCAAAAGAUCAUGGUGUCAUUGGAACUUUCGCUUCUUAUUAGGGUUACUUGCAUCUUGGUGAAAUGAAAUCAUGAACAGAGCAGCAGCUUUAGUCACAUAACACACGGCUCUUAGCUUACUGGUAACAUCAACAUGAUCCUGAGGACCGUUGUCCAAUAACUUAUCUAUCAUAGAAACCCAAUCUUCAUCUUCGUUAUCGAGCAUAGGACCUGGAAAAUACAAAUGCACCCACUAGUUUUAACAAUGGUCUCAUAGUAAUUUUACCAAAUGAAAAUUAGCAAGGGGGGCCAUUAUUUAUUGUCAUAUUUUCAUACCUUUGUCCUGAUACUGAUAAUUUGUGGGUGGAAUACUGCACAUUGCUUCAGAUAUAAGACUGCCUCCAUCCUGAAUUCCCAAAAGCUGACCUAUACCGGGGUUCAUGCUGGAUGGUGGUGGUAGGGGUUGCUGUUGCUCUUCUUGUUGUUCACCACCAAAUGAAGAUGGGAAUACGGCUUGAAAUGAUCUUUGAGUGGCAGGAUCAUCAAUCAUUUCAAGCACGCUACGUUUCUCAUAAGCACUACGCCGUAAUAAAUCAGCUUGUUUCUGCAAAAUCACACGGAGUAACCCAGUCGCAAGUCACAAUGGAACACGGAGAAUCUGAUUUUGACAAGAAGAAUAGUUAUGGCUUCAUUAUCCAUUAGCAUAAGACUUCAUGGCAGUAAAGGUUGCAUCAACUCGUUUAAAUCAGGAAAUCUGAAAUAGUCCUUACCUGUUGCAGUUCUUCUGGAUGGAAACUUAUGCUUCCUAUCAUCUAAACGAAGAAAGACCUCACGUUAGCCAAUAAGAAGGAAGCAUCAAUCAAAGGCAGAAUGUAACAACCAUGUGAAUUGGGAAGACAGAAGUCACAAGCUGUGGAGAGUAUAUUCCAAACACUUUGCUUUACCUUUCAUGUUUGACAAGUUGAGAUUAGUUUAGAUAAGUUUCAGUUAAGUUCAGAAAAAAAUUCAAUAAGUCCUGAUAAGUUCAGCAAAUAUAAGGUAAAGGGACUGCACCUUAUAUGUUACAACUUACAAGUCACAUCAUAGAAGAACCAACACUUACUUUUCAGGCGGCGUUCUUUCACCACAAACGACUCGCUUACUGCUGCCUUUACAACCACUCCAGGGGGAAGACCCUUUACAACCUUAACUCCAAGUCUAAAGGUUCCAUUUCUCAUUGAUUUCGAGUUAUCAGUGAAAGCAAUGUGACUAACACUAGCAACUCCUCUGCUCAUUACAAUCUCGCAUUUCCCCUUGAGUAGUGCUCCUUUGGUCUUCCUUGGUCUGGCGAUAUUGUUAGUGUAAUCCUCCUCUGUCCAAUCAUCUCUAUCUUCGAUGUCAAAAUCACCAUCAAGAACAUCAAUCUUAAUCUUCAUAGAGGAUUCAGGGCCAAUCUCUACUCUCUUUCCAGAUUCAAGCAACUCCACUUCAAGUGAAGCUCCCUCAUCUUCUAUCUUGUCCAUAGUUAACAUUGUAUCAGGUAUGUUACCCGUAAAUUGCAAUUCCAAGCUCCUUGAUGCAGAUGACUCAGCUUGAUGAAGCAACGAGCUGCAACAAGGGUUAACCUUAUCAAAUUUGUGGACUACUACCGAAAGAUUCUAUAUGCUAAUUGCUAUAUUUUGAAAAUUCCAUACGCGUUAACAUGAAGUUUAUUUGUGGAUUGCUCAUAUAGGAAUUUAUAAGUAUAUUAUGAGGAC